ACGCUGGCGGCAGGCCUAACACAUGCAAGUCGAGCGGUAGAGAGAAGCUUGCUUCUCUUGAGAGCGGCGGACGGGUGAGUAAUGCCUAGGAAUCUGCCUGGUAGUGGGGGAUAACGUUCGGAAACGGACGCUAAUACCGCAUACGUCCUACGGGAGAAAGCAGGGGACCUUCGGGCCUUGCGCUAUCAGAUGAGCCUAGGUCGGAUUAGCUAGUUGGUGAGGUAAUGGCUCACCAAGGCGACGAUCCGUAACUGGUCUGAGAGGAUGAUCAGUCACACUGGAACUGAGACACGGUCCAGACUCCUACGGGAGGCAGCAGUGGGGAAUAUUGGACAAUGGGCGAAAGCCUGAUCCAGCCAUGCCGCGUGUGUGAAGAAGGUCUUCGGAUUGUAAAGCACUUUAAGUUGGGAGGAAGGGCAGUUACCUAAUACGUGAUUGUUUUGACGUUACCGACAGAAUAAGCACCGGCUAACUCUGUGCCAGCAGCCGCGGUAAUACAGAGGGUGCAAGCGUUAAUCGGAAUUACUGGGCGUAAAGCGCGCGUAGGUGGUUAGUUAAGUUGGAUGUGAAAUCCCGGGCUCACCUGGGAACUGCAUUCAAACUGACUGACUA
rnacentral:rRNA from 1 species